rnacentral:rRNA from 1 species
UACGGGGGGGGUAAGCGUUGUUCGGAAUUACUGGGCGUAAAGAGCUCGUAGGCGGUUUGUCGCGUCUGCCGUGAAAGUCCGGGGCUCAACUCCGGAUCUGCGGUGGGUACGGGCAGACUAGAGUGAUGUAGGGGAGACUGGAAUUCCUGGUGUAGCGGUGAAAUGCGCAGAUAUCAGGAGGAACACCGAUGGCGAAGGCAGGUCUCUGGGCAUUAACUGACGCUGAGGAGCGAAAGCAUGGGGAGCGAACAGG